UUUAAGUUCAGUUGUAAUUUCUGUCCAAUGCUUGACCAUUCGUUAUAUUUGAAUUUUGUUAUGAUUAGUGUUUUUUUAUUAGAUGAUAAAACAUGAAUAUUAUUUUAUGUGUGAUUUUUUUAAUUUUUUUAUUUUUUUAAAUAAGAUGGACGGUUAAACAUACACACAGAAACUGAUAGCUGCACUCAAA
rnacentral:pre_miRNA from 1 species